rnacentral:misc_RNA from 1 species
UAGGAGUAUCCACCGCAAGA